CCAGACUCCUACGGGAGGCAGCAGUGGGGGAUAUUGCACAAUGGGGGGAACCCUGAUGCAGCGACGCCGCGUGAGUGAAGACGGCCUUCGGGUUGUAAAGCUCUGUCAAUCGGGACGAAGAAGAUGACGGUACCGAUGAAGGAAGCUCCGGCUAACUACGUGCCAGCAGCCGCGGUAAUACGUAGGGAGCAAGCGUUGUCCGGAUUUACUGGGUGUAAAGGGUGCGUAGGCGGCCCUGCAAGUCAGAAGUGAAAUCCAUGGGCUUAACCCGUGAACUGCUUUUGAAACUGUAGGGCUUGAGUGAAGUAGAGGCAGGCGGAAUUCCCGGUGUAGCGGUGAAAUGCGUAGAGAUCGGGAGGAACACCAGUGGCGAAGGCGGCCUGCUGGGCUUUAACUGACGCUGAAGCACGAAAGCGUGGGUAGCAAACAGGAUUAGAUACCCGCGUA
rnacentral:rRNA from 1 species